AACUUACUGCAAUGGAUCACUUGGUUCUGGCAUCGAUUAAGAACGCAGCGAAAUGCGAUAAGUAAUGUGAAUUGCAGAAUUCAGUGAAUCAUCGAAUCUUUGAACGCACAUUGCGCCCGCUGGUAUUCCGGCGGGCAUGCCUGUUCGAGCGUCAUUAUGACCAAUCAAGCUCUGCUUGGCCUUGGGGCCCGCUGUACCGGCGGCCCUUAAAACCAGUGGCGGUGCCGUCUGGCUCUAAGCGUAGUAAUACUCCUCGCUAUAGGGUUCAGCCGUCCACCCGCCAGAACUCCCAACUUUCUUAGGUUGACCUCGGAUCAGGUAGGGAUACCCGCUGAACUUAAGCAUAUCAAUAAGCGGAGGCU
rnacentral:misc_RNA from 1 species